GUAACAGAGAGUAGCUUGCUACUUUGCUGACGAGCGGCGGACGGGUGAGUAAUGCUUGGGAACAUGCCUUGAGGUGGGGGACAACAGUUGGAAACGACUGCUAAUACCGCAUAAUGUCUACGGACCAAAGGGGGCUUCGGCUCUCGCCUUUAGAUUGGCCCAAGUGGGAUUAGCUAGUUGGUGAGGUAAUGGCUCACCAAGGCGACGAUCCCUAGCUGGUUUGAGAGGAUGAUCAGCCACACUGGGACUGAGACACGGCCCAGACUCCUACGGGAGGCAGCAGUGGGGAAUAUUGCACAAUGGGCGCAAGCCUGAUGCAGCCAUGCCGCGUGUGUGAAGAAGGCCUUCGGGUUGUAAAGCACUUUCAGUCAGGAGGAAAGGUUAGUAGUUAAUACCUGCUAGCUGUGACGUUACUGACAGAAGAAGCACCGGCUAACUCCGUGCCAGCAGCCGCGGUAAUACGGAGGGUGCGAGCGUUAAUCGGAAUUACUGGGCGUAAAGCGUACGCAGGCGGUUUGUUAAGCGAGAUGUGAAAGCCCCGGGCUCAACCUGGGAACUGCAUUUCGAACUGGCAAACUAGAGUGUGAUAGAGGGUGGUAGAAUUUCAGGUGUAGCGGUGAAAUGCGUAGAGAUCUGAAGGAAUACCGAUGGCGAAGGCAGCCACCUGGGUCAACACUGACGCUCAUGUACGAAAGCGUGGGGAGCAAACGGGAUU
rnacentral:rRNA from 1 species